rnacentral:rRNA from 1 species
AUUGAACGCUGGCGGCAGGCUUAACACAUGCAAGUCGAGCGGGGGAAGGUAGCUUGCUACUGGACCUAGCGGCGGACGGGUGAGUAAUGCUUAGGAAUCUGCCUAUUAGUGGGGGACAACAUCUCGAAAGGGAUGCUAAUACCGCAUACGUCCUACGGGAGUAAGCAGGGGAUCUUCGGACCUUGCGCUAAUAGAUGAGCCUAAGUCGGAUUAGCUAGUUGGUGGGGUAAAGGCCUACCAAGGCGACGAUCUGUAGCGGGUCUGAGAGGAUGAUCCGCCACACUGGGACUGAGACACGGCCCAGACUCCUACGGGAGGCAGCAGUGGGGAAUAUUGGACAAUGGGGGGAACCCUGAUCCAGCCAUGCCGCGUGUGUGAAGAAGGCCUUAUGGUUGUAAAGCACUUUAAGCGAGGAGGAGGCUACUUUAGUUAAUACCUAGAGAUAGUGGACGUUACUCGCAGAAUAAGCACCGGCUAACUCUGUGCCAGCAGCCGCGGUAA